rnacentral:tRNA from 1 species
GGGCGAGUAGUUCAGUGGUAGAACGCUGACCUUAUAAGUCAGAAGUCGGAGGUUCGAUCCCUCCCUCGCCCACCA